AUAUUAUACGUAUACGCUUUAGAAUACGGCUACAUACCUUUAUCCGUAUAUGACCUUAUGAUAUGAGCAUGUACACGACUUGGGUACACCCGUCUCCUCUGGCACUGACUCGGACUCGUCUAGCCAACCGGUGUUCAAAGUCACCCUAGCCAUCAUGGUCCAUAAAGAACCCGCCUUAACCCUCUCCGGUUCGGGUCCUGCAUGGUUAAACCGGGUCAACCGUGAAAUUAGACCGGGUUUAAGAAGUAGGGUAUUACAAGUUCCUUCUUAUCUUGUGGCACUAUUUAAUAUUCAGAACUCUGGUAAUGCUCUAUUUGCUUGUAAUUUGGAAAGUUUGGAUCUGGCAUUAUACAAAAAUGUUUUGAGUGCUCUGUUAUUCAAUUUGGAACAUAUCUAUUGUUGCAAUCUUGAACACAUCUUUUCAAUAUCAGUUUGGAAUGUUUUAGUUCUUUGCUUGCCUAGAUUUUUUAAUAUUUUUUUCUACUCAUUUUGUACUGUAUGACACAACUCUUCUAUCAGUAUAUCUUGUCAAUUGCAAGCCUUCAUUUUAUGUUUUGCUCCUGUAGGUAAAAUAACAUAUCAUUUUCUAUUAGAGAUACUCCUCUAUGCCAUUUGGAUACUUGAUUAACAAUAUAAUUUUUGCCAAUUCUAGGAGAGAUACUUGUAAUCAUGUAGUUAAAAAAAAAAUGAAAAAAAGAAUAGAGAAUUCAUUAUAACCCGAGAGUACCCAAUACAUUGUUUUUUUUUUCCACUUGUUUAGGGUUCAGCCUUAACAGCAUGGUUCAAUCCUAUCUUGAACCUUCCAAGGUUAUGGGCGCGAUAUUGCUGCAGGAUGCUAUCCUCCUUGACAAAUGAUUAAUGAUUACUUGAUUUCAAGUUCUUGAAAACUUAUUUGCAGUUUCAGUUUGCACAGUUGUGUGAUUCUAUGGUUGAGAUUGACUGUAUUCAUAUUUGUAUUUGGUAUUCUGGUUUGUGGUUAUACACUUAAUACUAAUUUUCUUAGUGACUCUUGAUAAGUUGAUAUGGCUUAAUGUUGAUUAUUGAUGAAUGAUAUAAGCGUACAUGUAGUAAACAAGUUAUAUGUUACUUGAGUGAACUGUACUUAAUCUUGAACUUACAUCUCUAAUACCAACCUGAUUUUCUCUGCGCAAGACUUGUAAUUUUAGUGGGCAUUAGGUUUGUAACUAUUCCGAUUAAGUCCCAGUUUUAAACUGACAUUAGAACUUUGGGCAGAUGGGCUGAUUGUCUUAUUAUGACUUGGGUUAAGUACAUGAUUAACACAUUAAAAAGGAUGAAAGAGCAUUUGACUACAAACUGUCUGUAGACGUCUAAGCAGCCUACAUUAAGGCUCUUAUCAGGUUUUCAAAAUGAUACAAAAUUUAUUUUUUCUUUCUCUCUUGGACUGCAGUGAGUGUGAUAUUAAUGUGAUCAUAGGCAUGGCGAAGAGAGACAUAUUCCAAGUAGUCAAAUUUAGUUUAUUUGCUUCUCUCUAUAACACUUUCUAUUUGUGUCUACCUUUAGUUUUUUAGAUACUAAAAGUUAGCAAUGGGCGAGUAGGAAAGAUGACUAUUGAGCAGGAGAAUUUGAGAAGUGGAUUUGAUGAUAGAAAUUUUAACCCUUUAGUUCAUAACAUGGAUUACUACCCACUAUGACCAAGUUCUUUGGGGAUGAUUCCGUACAAUAGUUCGGUGGAAGAACUUGAGGACAUCCUUAGGGAAAUGCACCAGGUGUUGUAGCUAACCAUGUAGCCCUAGAAGCGUGUGUACUGAUCUCACUCACGAAGGGAAUGGAAUUAUCCUUGGGGAGACCAUAUGCACAAAUGAAGCUGUUAGUGUUUUUCUUCUUUUUGUCCAUUUCAGGCACGUUUUUUGAUUUCAUGAGCUUUUCGUCUUCCUCUGUAAUAGUGUUGGAUGCAAAUUUAAAUUCCUAAAUAACUCUGCUGUUUAUUCUUGUAUUUCAGGAUCGGUCGAGGGGUUAUUAUGCAACUACACUAAGGCACCCUCUUUAUCUAUGACGAAAACCAACUAGAGAGUAGUUGUUGCUUCUGUACUAAGUUUCAAAAUUAUUUACAAAAUUGAAGCAUUGGAAGCAUGCUUCAAUGUUGUAUGUUAAACCAGAGAUUUGGUAUGGGUUUAAGAAUCUCAGUGCCUAUUCUGAAACUUUUAUUUUUGGGUUUCAUAGGAUGAUGGACCAAGGCCCCUGGCUUCCAGGAUUCCAUGUCAUCUCUUAAAGUAAGUCCGUCAUCCCCAAAAUAUUCUCCCCCAAAAAACUAUGGGUAGUAAUGGGCUACUCUCACGAUUGCAUGUCUCUGAGUUUCCUUUUCUAUAUUCAAAAUGCACGGUCCUAAAGGCUUAAGUUGUUGUUUCACUUGUAAUGUCAUUGCUCAAAUGUAGCCAACACCAAUUUCCAAGGAGAUAGAGAUGGAACAUUCUCCAUUGGGCAAACUGUGAGAAUCAGAGUUGGUCCUUUAAAGGAUUACUUGUGUCGGGUCUUUGCCAUCUAUUGCUCUAUUGUUAUUAUUAUGCUUGGUUUUUAACUGAAGAUUGUUUUAAAGGGUUACUUAUAUCGUGUAUGGGUAGGUUAAAUUUAUUUAUAAUAACUUUCUUGAUGAUUUUGUAGUUAAACGUGAGCAUCUUAUGUUUUGGAUUAUUUAUGUUCUAUAUUUCUUUAUUGAUAGGCUUUUUGUUUAUGUUCUCAUUCAAUCUAUUUCCAUCCUCUUAAAGUAGGGAUCUUACUUCCAAUGCACAUAUUUAAAAUCAAAUUUGGUCGACAGGUAUGGACAUUAUUUCUAUGAUUUUGUGGUUAAAUAUGAGCAUCUAUAAGCUUUUGUUGUUUUUGUAAUGAUGAUGCAUGCUUACAGUCUUGGAAAUGCCCCUGAACUACCCCUACCCAUAGGGUUAAUUUGAGUAAUAAGGUAAGGGACAUAACCCACAAGAGGUAGGGUACUAAACAACCAAAACAGGGGCUGAUUGGGCUCAAAAUACCCCAACCGAUGGGAUACAACGGCUGGACACUUGCCCAACAGGUGGGAGAGAAUCUGCAGAAAAUUUUUGCACUCUCAGAGGCUAUUCUGCGGAUUUCCUUGGGUCUGGCUGCCCAUGGCCGAUGGAUAUUGGCCUUGGCAACAUGAGGAAGGUUCCCCAAGGCCUCUAGUGUCCUUUUACAGCCCCCAAAACUCCCAAUUACAUGAAUUAAAAUUCUGCCCUAAGGAAUUCCUUAAUUUUCUUACCUGGGAUGGAAAUUUCAGCCCUAGAAGCAUGUUCCCAUACCUGUGGAGCUCAAUCCCAAUUUAUGUGUCUCUGCAGGGACUUCAAGAAUAUAUGGACAGCAAGAAUUAAUCAUCAAUUUAACAUGUUCAAUAAGAAUUAACCCAUGAAACCAGCCCAAUUCAUAUGCAUGCAGUCCAGGGUUCCCUCUUUGGGUGGCUGCAUGCUUAAGACUUGGUUGAAAAACCAUGUACAUGAAUAUAAUCUACUGUACAGCAGUGUAGAGAGAUGAAGUUUACUUCUCUGAACAGGUACAGCAGCAGGUCAACAUGUGCAGUAGGAUUUCAACAGGAUUUCAGAUUGGACAGCACCUUGCACCUCUCAUCUUGGCUUGCAUGUACCCUUUUCUACAGCAGCAGCAGCAUCAUCUCAAUACCAUAAAUAAGAGGGCACCGCAGGAGCAGCAGGAAGCAUGUAGCUGCAGCCCCAAAAAAUAUAUGAACAGCCGCCCUUCUCUCCUUCUCUUUUUCUUCUUCUUCUUCCCUUUUCUUUUUUUCUUCACUGCUUCUUUCUGUUCUUGGCAGUAAGGGGAGAGGCAUUAGCUGACUCCCUGCCCCACUUUUAUUAAACCAAAAACAGACCUUAGGGUCUGUCUGGCUUAGCAUUUUAAGAAAAACAUAUUUUUUUAUAAUUAUUUAAAAUGACAUAACUAAUUGUAGGUUUAGAGGUUCCACAUGCAACGUGAUGCAUUUGAACCCGUAAAUAUGCUCCUACUAUGCUGUGGAAUAGGUGAAAAUAUCCUGUAUAGUAGUAGGACCCACAGAGGAAAAAUCCAAUUUCUGGUCAUUUUGCUACCUGAACCGGCUAGCCUGUUGGCAGCAGGGUAUGCCGCCGGUUUGUCCAUUUUAACUCAUUUUUUGUUCUAACUUUUGGGGUCUUAAGUCUACCCAAUGUAGGACUGGUCCCACUCAUAUUUGGCCAUUUAUGCUUCUUCUUUGGCCAAUAAAUCAGCCAAAUUCUCUCUUUCUGCUAUACAAAUGGAUCCACCACAAUAAGGCAGCCUAUCUCUUGUGCCAGCUAGGUCUUGACACUGAGCUCAGCUGCUUCUAGUUUAGGGUGUUACAAUUUGUCUGCCUCCUCAAAUUUGAGGGGGCCUUUAUCUGAGAAGAGUCAAUGAUAACAUCAUAGCUGCCACCCUCAAGCUCAUAUGGAAACUUGCUUCCAAGCACAAUAGUAUCUGGGUGAAAUUGAUAGUCUUCUCUCUCCUUAAAAAGGACUCUAUUUCAUGGUCUCUCCUACAUCUAAUGCUUCCUGGGUUUAGAAAUCCUUAACCUUAGACCACAUGCUCUCAAUGCCCUCUCCUCCUCCAUCAGUAAUGGGUCUUCCACCUACUUGUGGUUGGACAAUUAUGUUUAUGUUCAGCCUUUUGUAGAUUUUUGCUUGUAAUGCACAUUUGAACUGUACUUUGUUUUUUUUUUCAAUAAAUUUUUAUAUAUUGAAUAUUAUUAUUACAUAUGUAUUGUGAAUUAACGAUUCUAUAGAUGCUUAGUUAUGUCCAGCAUGGUGAUUUGUAGGACUGUCUAUGAGUAAUAAAAAAGAGAAAAUAGCAGCCCAGUGCACAAGGAUCCUACUAUAGCAUGCUCUCAGAGGACCAAAUGUACGCCACCUUACCGCCUUCUUUACAGGAGAGGUUGUUUCGAAGUUUCUAACUUAUGACCGACAUGUGCAGGAACCUUAUAUGUGUACCUGGUGAGGAUUUGCGAGAUCGGAAAUUUAGUGAAAGACACCAGAAUUGGGAAUUUCAGAUAAUGGAACUGGAGCUUUGGCACGGCAGAGGCAGUUCAGAUAUGCAGGUGUAAUUGUUGGACACUUGCUGGAUAGAUGAUUUAAGCAAUGUGUAUAGAGUGUAUUAUUACAGAAUGUGUUGUAUGUAAGGUUGUAAAUAUUAUAUUACUUGUGAAUGGAUUUAUGGCUCUAAUUAAAUUAGUUGAUAUCACAA